GAGCUUUAACCUCGAAGAGAGCAAUCCGUCGACAGUUUAGACCAAACACUGUCAUGGAGACGCUCUCUUUAAGGUGAAAUGC
rfam:Folsomia candida strain VT population Fcan01_Sc004, whole genome shotgun sequence.